AUCAUUGGUUCAGUCAGAGUGAGUGACACUCGCACAGUGGUGGUGAGUGGAAAACGCAAACGAAAAUGCUAUCCACACUUCAAACCCCUCGCUCCCUCUCUCUCUCACGCUUCUCCUUCCUUCCUUCAACCUCAAACCCCUUCACUCUCCCUUCCUCCACCUUCAACUUCACUUCCACCACUCUCCCUCAAGCUUCCCUCACCGACCACCAAUCCCCAACCACCACCACCACUUCACCGCCGCAAUCCCAGAUCCUCUCCACCCGCCACUCCCUCCUCUCCCGCCACCUCACCGCCACCGACCUCGUCCACUCCCACCUCGCCCGCCUCCACCUCUCCGAACCCCACCUCCGCUCCUUCCUCCACCUCCCCGAUGACGACUCCCUCCUCUCCCGUGCCCGUGACCUCGACGCCAGAAUCGCCGCUGGUGAAGACCCUGGCCCUCUCGCCGGCGUCCUUGUUGCCGUCAAGGAUAAUAUCUGCACUGCUGACAUGCCAUCCACCGGCGGCUCCCGUAUCCUUGAUGGUUACCGCCCGCCCUUCGAUGCCACUGCUGUCAAGAGAGUGAAGGAGUUGGGUGGCAUCGUUGUUGGCAAGACCAAUUUAGAUGAGUUUGGUAUGGGUAGCACCACUGAAGCCUCUGCAUUUCAGGUGACUGCCAACCCAUGGGAUGUUUCUAGGGUGCCGGGAGGAUCAUCAGGAGGAUCAGCUGCUGCAGUUUCUGCAAGGCAGUGUGUUGUAUCUUUGGGAAGUGAUACUGGUGGAAGCGUGAGGCAGCCAGCGUCAUUUUGUGGUGUUGUAGGUUUGAAGCCGACAUAUGGGCGUGUGUCGAGAUUUGGACUCAUGGCGUAUGCAUCAUCGCUUGAUGCCAUUGGUUGUUUUGGUUCAUCGGUUGCUGAUGCGGGGAUUCUCCUUCAUGCUAUUGCUGGUCAUGAUAGAUUUGAUGCCACCUCAAGUAAGCAGGAUGUACCCAACUUUCUAUCUAAUUUUGUCCCUGCAAGCUCCUUGGAAAGUAAGCCCUUGAAGGGACUGAAAGUUGGUCUGAUCCGUGAAACUAUUGACGAGGGUGUAGAUGCUGGAGUAAUUUCCGCAGUUCGUGCUGCUGCUUUGCAUUUUGAGGAAUUAGGAUGCUCUGUGAAUGAGGUCUCACUGCCAUCCUUUUCCCUUGGAUUGCCUGCAUACUAUAUCCUUGCGUUGUCUGAGUCAUCUUCCAACUUGUCACGCUAUGAUGGUAUUAGGUAUGGAAACCAAGUUUAUGCUGAUGAGCUAGACUCUCUUUAUGGAGAUUCUCGAGCUAAAGGACUUGGUUCUGAGGUCAAAAUGAGAAUUUUGAUGGGGACAUAUGCUCUUUCAGCUGGUUACUAUGAUGCAUAUUACAAGCGGGCACAGCAGGUGAGAACCAUAAUAAAGAAUAGCUUUAAGGAGGCACUGAGUCAAAAUGACAUUCUGAUUUCCCCUGCAGCUCCUUCUGCUGCUUAUAAAAUCGGUGAAAAGAAAAACGAUCCUUUGGCUAUGUAUGCAGGUGACAUCAUGACCGUAAAUGUUAACCUAGCUGGACUACCUGCCUUGGUUUUGCCAUGUGGAUUUGUUGAGGGCGGCUCGGCAGGCCUUCCUGUUGGCCUACAAAUGAUUGGUGGAGCAUUUGAUGAGGGAGAACUGCUAAGAGUGGGACAUAUCUUUGAGCAAACUCUUGGAAAUGGCAGCUUUGUUCCACCAAUUGUAGCGGAUAACAUUGCAUGCUGAGAAUAAGGGCUUAUUUUUCAUCUUGGUUAUUGAUAAAUAUUUUCGUUAGUUUCAUGUAAUGUGGUUGGCAGAAGCAGGUUAUAUACUCAUGUUUUCCUCAGUCGUCACACGGCAGAAACUAUGUUCAGUGUGCUUGAAAGUUCACUCAUUAUGUGCAGAAUGACCUUUCAAGUAGCUGAUGGGGAAUUUCACCAGCUAUGGUUAACAACUAGUAUCUACACCCGUGCUUUGCACGGUUAGAUUUUGUGGUUAAUACUAUGCACAGAUAGUAGCAAAACAAACAUUUUUCAUUCAAA